rnacentral:sRNA from 2 species
GCUCCGGGUUCGCCGAAUCCUGCCCGUCCGGAGCGUCCCCCGAGACACGAAUUCAUCGGGCAGGAGUGGGGGACCCACAGGUUCCACGCCGGGAUCGUCGCUCGACGAUCGCGGCUCGGGGUGAAGUCACGCGAGUGACGGAGCACUUUCCAGCUCCAACCCGACAGCUCACCUCACAGGCGUGGGAAAGGAAUC